rnacentral:ncRNA from 1 species
CGACCCUAGGUCAAGCGGGACUACCCACUAAGUUUAAGCAUAUAAAUAAGCGGAGGAGAAGAAACUUAC